GACGAACGCUGGCGGCGUGCUUAACACAUGCAAGUCGAACGGAAAGGCCCUGCUUUUGUGUGGUGCUCGAGUGGCGAACGGGUGAGUAACACGUGAGUAACCUGCCCUUGACUUUGGGAUAACUUCAGGAAACUGGGGCUAAUACCGGAUAGGAGCUCCUGCUGCAUGGUGGGGGUUGGAAAGUUUCGGCGGUUGGGGCUGGACUCGCGGCUUAUCAGCUUGUUGGUGGGGUAGUGGCUUACCAAGGCUUUGACGGGUAGCCGGCCUGAGAGGGUGACCGGCCACAUUGGGACUGAGAUACGGCCCAGACUCCUACGGGAGGCAGCAGGGGGGAAUAUUGCACGAUGGGCGGAAGCCUGAUGCAGCAACGCCGCGUGCGGGAUGACGGCCUUCGGGUUGUAAACCGCUUUCGCCUGUGACGAAGCGUGAGUGACGGUAAUGGGUAAAGAAGCACCGGCUAACUACGUG
rnacentral:rRNA from 1 species